rnacentral:rRNA from 1 species
AUGGCCUGUGGGUCUCGAAGCAACGAGAUAGUGGACGAGUUCGAGAAGCUGGUCAUCAAGAUGAACCCUCCAAGGGUCACCGUGGAUAAUACCUCCGACAUGACUGCAACCUUGGUCAAGGUUGACAGCGCGAACAAGUAUGGGACCUUGCUAGAGGUUGUCCAGGUGCUGACCGAUCUGAAGCUGACCAUAAACCGGGCCUACAUUUCCUCUGAUGGGGAGUGGUUCAUGGAUGUGUUCCAUGUCGUGGAUGAGGAAGGGAAUAAGCUUUAUGACGGCCAAGUCAUCGACAGAAUUGAGCAGUCUCUCGGAGCCGGGUCGCUCAGCUUCCGCGGCACGGACCGGUGCGUCGGCGUCGACGCGGAGGCGGAGGCGGCGCAGACGGUGAUCGAGCUGAUCGGGCGGGACCGGCCGGGCCUCCUGUCGGAGGUGUUCGCGGUGCUCACCAACCUCAAGUGCAACAUCGCGGCGUCCGAGGUGUGGACGCACGACGGCCGCAUGGCGGCGCUCAUGUACGUGACGGACGCCGAGACCGGCGGCGGCAUCGAGGAGCCCGAGCGUCUGGACACGGUGAAGCGGCUGCUCCGGCACGUGCUGCGCGGCAGCAGCCGGGACAAGAAGGCCGCCCGGGCCGCCAUCUCGGCGCGCGCCGCGGCGCCGCACGCCCAGCGGCGCCUGCACCAGAUGAUGCACGCCGACCGGGGCGCCCACCGCACCGACGGCGGCGACGGCGACGCGGCGGCCGACGACCGGAGCCUGCCGGUGGUGGUGGUGGAGGAUUGCGCCGAGAGGGGGUACACGCUGGUGAACGUGCGGUGCCGCGACCGGCCGAAGCUGCUGUUCGACACGGUGUGCACCCUCAUCGACAUGCAGUACCUCGUCUUCCACGGCACCGUCAUCGCCGAGGGCUCCGAGGCCUACCAGGAGUAUUACAUCAGGCACCUCGACGACGGCGCCGCCGCCUCCGACCAAGACCGGGAGCAGCUCCGCCGCUGCCUCGAGGCCGCCAUCCAACGCCGUAACACAGAGGGGCUUGGGCUGGAGCUGUGCUGCGAGGACAGGGUGGGGCUGCUGUCGGACGUGACGCGUAUAUUCCGGGAGCACGGGCUGUCGGUCACGCACGCCGAGGUGGCGACGCGCGGGGAGCGGGCGGCCAACGUCUUCUACGUGGUGACCGCGUCGGGGAUGCCCGUGCAGGCGCAGGCCGUGGAGGCCGUCCGGGCGGAGAUCGGCGACGAGAUCCUCCUGGUCAAGGAGGACGCCGCCGCGCCCAAGUCGCCCCCGGGCCGCGACGGCGGCGGUCGCUCGCUCGGAAACAUGAUCCGGUCCCGCUCCGAGAAGUUCCUCUACAACCUCGGCCUCAUCAGGUCAUGCUCUUAG